rnacentral:lncRNA from 1 species
CUAAAUGCUUUAUUAUAAUACUAAUAUCAGCUAUGUUUUUACAGAUCAGAACUUCUUAUAAUGCAACUGAAGUUACUCGGCCAAGAACAAAUACAACAGUAACUCCAGUGGGCCUCCAUUGUCUCCAAGUCAACUUUCCUCCUCAUCUACAACUUCUCCACAGCAGCCCUGAACACCUGUUCACCUGGAUCUACCAUGAAAGACUUCAGAGUCCAGGAAGAGACUGACUGGGCAGCAUGUUAUUCAGGUACAAAAGACUUGGACGAUAACUCAGAAGUGAU